rnacentral:tRNA from 1 species
UCCCUGGUGGUUCAGAUGGUAGAAAAUCUGCCUUCUAUGCAGGAGACCCAGGUUUGAUCUCUGGGUCAGGAAA